GAUGAAGAACGCAGCAAAGUGCGAUAAGUAAUGUGAAUUGCAGAAUACCGUGAAUCAUCGAAUCUUUGAACGCAUAUUGCACUCUCUGGUAUUCCGGAGAGUAUGCCUGUUUGAGGGUCAGUUAAAAAAAAUCAAGCGUUAUUGCUUUGGUGAUGACGUUUGGAAUUGAGUCGUCUUAAUCCUUACGGUCAAAGUGACUUAAAAUUUUUAAUGUGAUUUCGAAACGUAUUUAAUAUUUUACUUACGUUUGCGAUAUCAAAUAAUCUAUUAGAUGUGGUCAUUUUCCAUGAUUCGCGUCUAUAGUUUUCUCAUUAAAUGACCUCAAAUCAGGUAAGAGUACCCGCUGAACUUAAGCAUAUCAAUAAGCGGAGGA
rnacentral:misc_RNA from 1 species